AUCACAUCACAACUAAUCACAUCAAGGAUGAAUUUGUCACCAAUAGUCCCCUACAUGGACCAACUGUGCCAGGGGCGUAGAAUGGGCCUCACUGGUCUUUCUCUUACAUAACAUAACAUAACAUGGUCCAACUGUGUCAGGGGCGUAGAAUGGGCCUCACUGGUCUUUCCCUUACAUAGUGCCAGGGGCGUAGAAUGGGCCUCACUGGUCUUCCGUACCGUAUCAUCAUCAUCAUAGCAUAGGGGGACUAAUGGAUCAUUCAACAUCCAUCCACAUCAUCAAACAUAAUAUGCAAUGCAACAUAUUCGUGAGUCUAAUGCAACACCCUAUUAUCUCAUGGCAUUCAUGAUGCGUGAAUCAUGCUAAAACUGAUUUAUUU
rnacentral:lncRNA from 1 species